rnacentral:rRNA from 1 species
GUGUAUGCUUUUCCUAAAGAUUAAGCCAUGCAUGCUCGAAUAUGAGGUGACAAGUCUCUCUGAAUCUGCGAACGGCUCCGCACACCAGUUGUAAUACAUUGCGCUACCGGUCUUUGCCGACGGUCCUCCGGACAACGGGCACUGACACACAUCAUCUAGUUGGAUAUCCCUGGUAAUUCUGGGGCUAAUACAUGACACUAAUCCGAGCCUUAUCGCCUGUCCUCGUCAGGAAACUGUACUUGGGUCGGGUAAGGUUGCGUGUGAACAACCAAACAAAUGAAGCCUGGGUUUCCCAGUUCACGAUAGAGCACACGUUUAAUACCUGCGCGUUGCUUCGCGGCUUCACCAGGCGUUGUUCGGAUAACGGCGGCUGCCUUUCCGGGUUUUACCUCUUCAGGCGACCUGGGGGUACUACUGCGAGGGCGGGGAUUCACGGCCGUAUUCGCUUUGAAGACGGCGUCCUGGGCAGGUGUGCGCUUCGGCUUCUGACCUAUCAACUAGAAUGCGAUGUAACGGAUUGCAAUGGUAGCAACGGGUACAGAGGAUUAGGGUUCGAUCCUGGAGAGUGGGCCUGAGAGAUUGCUCCUACUUCUAAGGAAGGCAGCAGGCGCGCAAAGUUCCCCUUGGGUCUCGGCCUGAGGGCGUUAGGGGACAUAUGAAUGAGCGUCUUAAUGGCGCUCAAUUCAAAUGGGUCUGUCGUAAACUGACUCUCGAGUAACAAUUGGAGGACAAGUCUGGUGCCAGCACCCGCGGUAAUUCCAGCUCCAAUAGCAUACGUUAAAGUUGUUGCGGUUAAAACGCUCGUAGUCGCGGUCGGAUUGUGCGGAGUCAUUGUCCUGUCUCGUAUUAGCGUGUUGUGCGUGCUUACCCCUCGGGUGCCGUGCGGCUGUUAGUGCGGGGCGCAGUGCGAUGGCGGGUCCAACCAAAGUGCCCAAGCAACGUAACCGAUUCGUCGGGUUACAAGGAUUCGGACCAACACGGGUUUUUUGCGGGCUUUGCGCGGUCUCCGUGCUCGGUCAGCUUGGGCUUGUGCCGUUUCCCUGUGCUUGCGUACCUCUUCACCAUGAUUAAACCGUAGUGUUCGAAGCGAGACAAUACGUCCCUUGAACGGCGCAGCAUGGUAUGAGGAUAGCUGAUCAUUGCUGGGUAGCUGCAGUAUGCGGACCUCGUUGUUCGUGUUACGGGUUAUUCAUUUCUCCACAUUCCCCGGGUUUUGCGGAGCAUUGGUCGGUGCACUUAAAGGGUUGUCUUCAGGGGGGCCGAAUUGUUGGGCGAGUGGUGAAAUACGUUGACCCCAGCAAGUCGACCAAAGGCGAAAGCAGCUCUCCGGACCCUUCCCGUUGAUCAAGAGCGAAAGUUAAGGGCGCGAAGACGAUCAGAUACCGUCGUAGUCUUAACUAUAAAUGAUACUGGCCAGGUAUAGGGCAAUGUCCAUACCGACUCCCUCUGUGUCUCUGGUGAAAAUAUUGAGCCUUUGAGUUCCGGGGGGAGUAUGGUCGCAAGUCUGAAACUUAAAGGAAUUGAC